rnacentral:rRNA from 1 species
GACGAACGCUGGCGGCGCGCCUAACACAUGCAAGUCGAACGGAGUCAAGAGGAGCUUGCUUUUCUUGACUUAGUGGCGAACGGGUGAGUAACGCGUGAGUAACCUGCCCUGGAGUGGGGGACAACAGUUGGAAACGACUGCUAAUACCGCAUAAGCCCACGGAUCUGCAUGGAUCUGCGGGAAAAGGAUUUAUUCGCUCUAGGAUGGACUCGCGUCCAAUUAGCUAGUUGGUGAGGUAACGGCCCACCAAGGCGACGAUUGGUAGCCGGACUGAGAGGUUGAACGGCGACAUUGGGACUGAGACACGGCCCAGACUCCUACGGGAGGCAGCAGUGGGGGAUAUUGCACAAGGGGGGAAACCCUGAUGCAGCGACGCCGCGUGGAGGAAGAAGGUUUUCGGAUUGUAAACUCCUGUCGUUAGGGACGAUAAUGACGGUACCUAACAAGAAAGCACCGGCUAACUACGUG